AGUGGCGGACAUCAGGUAAGUUAAUGCAUCAGUUCCCUUCUGAUCACUUAAGUCAAGCAACGUUGUUCGUGGUUGGUAUCCAGAUGGGUAACCAUCUAGACAAGCGCGUGCUGCAUGCU
rnacentral:rRNA from 1 species